rnacentral:rRNA from 1 species
GUGCCAGCAUCUGCGGUAAUUCCAGCUCCAAUAGCGUAUAUGUAAAUUGUUGCGGUUGAAAAGCUCGUAGUUGGACUUCUGUCGGCCGCGUUCGGUCCGCCUUGAGUGAGUACUGUUCGCGGUCGGCGUUUUUGUCGACGGUGCGCGUCGGACUUCACUGGCCGGUGCGCUCUCUGUCGGCGAUGUUACUUUGAGGAAAUCAGAGUGCUCAAAGCAAGCGUUCGCUCGUGACUUCACUAGCAUGGAAUAACACAGAUGGGCUCUUUUUCGCACCGUUGGUCUGCGUCAACUGAGCAACGAUCGAUAGAGACGGUCGGGGGCAUUCGUAUUGCGCAGUUAGAGGUGAAAUUCUCCGAUCUGCGCAAGACGCACUAAUGCGAAAGCAGUUGCCAAGGACGUCCUCUUAUGAUCAAGAGCGAAAGUCGGGGGAUCAAAGAUGAUUAGAUACCGUCGUAGUCCCGACCAUAAAUGAUGCCAACUGAGCGUCGGCGACUCGGCUUUCAGCCGGACGUCGGCGCUCUUGAGAGAAAUUAAAGUCUUUGGGCUCCGGGGGUAGUAUGGUCGCAAGGCU